UUUAAAAACACACCAAUCACAACUCGUUUCAGCAUUUUAAGAAUGGAUCUGGAAGCUAGCACAGGUCCUAAAUCCCUAGCUAGCCUAAGACUUAGCUAGGAACGAUUCAAAUGGAUUCCUUUCGCUUUAAGGAUUUUCAGAGACCAGAGAGCUUUGCUGUGCUGACUUUGAACUCCCAGGCUCAACUGACCCUUGUGCUUCAGCCUCCCACACAGCUGGAGAGUAUCUACCAUGUCGAGCUGAUAUCUUUGUACUUUCUCAUUUCAAGAUUCUCACUGAGCGGCCUUUUUGUGUGCCUACUGAAGCCUUGUCUAUCUCUGCCAAGGAUGGAAAGUUGCACGAUCCCCCUUGACCUUGAAGAUCAACGGGUGAAUGUGCAAUCCCAACAGGACCUUGCCUUCUAGCAUCUUCCAUGGCUCUCAUUGAUACCCUUAUCCUAGGUAUCUGCAAGCCAGCCUCUCAAUUAGAAGCCAUGCUGAGGUGAGGCCUGGUCUGCUGGUGCACAGCUUUAAUGGUAACGAUCAGGAAACAGA